rnacentral:misc_RNA from 1 species
GUAGUGUAUUGCAGUGGGUCUAUUUGGUACCAAAAUUUUUCUUUGGACCUGAUGACUUGUGAGAUUGUAUUUGUGGCUUUCCUUAUUAAUUACUUCCAUUGCUCUUUGACUGCAUUAUUUUGCAAUGUGAAAUGAGAGUGUCACAGUUUCUGCUCAUACCACUUUUAGAUUCUUGAAACACUGUUUCCUCAUCGUGGAUGCAUUCACAACUG